ACCUUCUCUUUGCCUCUUGGCUUAGAUCAAGUGUAGUAUCUGUUCUUUUCAGUUUAAUCUCUGAAAGAUGUCCAUUGGACAUCACAUUGAUUAUUCUUAUUUUUGAUCUUCAGGUGGGAUGGUCCCUGUGGCUUGCUGCAUACCUCCUUCCAUCGUGUCCCUGGUAUUACACUGUCUCCAGGCGACGCAAAACCCUU
rfam:Colletotrichum gloeosporioides Nara gc5 unplaced genomic scaffold scaffold652, whole genome shotgun sequence.